rnacentral:rRNA from 1 species
CCUACGGGGGGCAGCAGUGGGGAAUAUUGGACAAUGGGGGGAACCCUGAUCCAGCCAUGCCGCGUGUGUGAAGAAGGCCCUCGGGUUGUAAAGCACUUUCAGUGAGGAAGAACGCCUGGUGGUUAAUACCCAUCAGGAAAGACAUCACUCACAGAAGAAGCACCGGCUAACUCCGUGCCAGCAGCCGCGGUAAUACGGAGGGUGCGAGCGUUAAUCGGAAUUACUGGGCGUAAAGCGCGCGUAGGUGGCUUGAUAAGCCGGUUGUGAAAGCCCCGGGCUCAACCUGGGAACGGCAUCCGGAACUGUCAAGCUAGAGUGCAGGAGAGGAAGGUAGAAUUCCCGGUGUAGCGGUGAAAUGCGUAGAGCUCGGGAGGAAUACCAGUGGCGAAGGCGGCCUUCUGGACUGACACUGACACUGAGGUGCGAAAGCGUGGGUAGCACACAGGAUUAGAUACCCGAGUAGUC